GAUGAACGCUGGCGGCGUGCCUAAAACAUGCAAGUCGUGCGGUAACAGGUCUAGUUUACUAGAUGCUGACGAGCGGCGGACGGCUGAGUAACGCGUGGGAAUCUGCCCCGAAGUGAGGGAUAACUGCCCGAAAGGGUGGCUAAUACCGCAUAUGGUCUACGGAUUAAAGAAGCAAUUCGCUUCGGGAGGAGCCCGCGUAAGAUUAGCUAGUUGGUGAGGUAAUGGCUCACCAAGGCGACGAUCUUUAACUGGUUUGAGGGGAUGAUCAGUCAGACUGGAACUGAGACACGGUCCAGACUCCUACGGGAGGCAGCAGUUAGGAAUAUUCCACAAUGGGGGCAACCCUGAUGGAGCAACGCCGCGUGGAGGAUGAAGGCCUUCGGGUCGUAAACUUCUUUUCUAUGCGAAGAAUAUGACGGUAACAUAGGAAUAAGGGUCUGCUAACUACGUGCCAGCAGCCGCGGUAA
rnacentral:rRNA from 1 species